rnacentral:rRNA from 1 species
CCUACGGGUGGCUGCAGUGGGGAAUAUUGCACAAUGGGCGCAAGCCUGAUGCAGCCAUGCCGCGUGUGUGAAGAAGGCCUUCGGGUUGUGAAGCACUUUCAGCGGGGAGGAAGGCGGUGAGGUUAAUAACCUCAUCGAUUGACGUUACCCGCAGAAGAAGCACCGGCUAACUCCGUGCCAGCAGCCGCGGUAAUACGGAGGGUGCAAGCGUUAAUCGGAAUUACUGGGCGUAAAGCGCACGCAGGCGGUCUGUCAAGUCGGAUGUGAAAUCCCCGGGCUCAACCUGGGAACUGCAUUCGAAACUGGCAGGCUAGAGUCUUGUAGAGGGGGGUAGAAUUCCAGGUGUAGCGGUGAAAUGCGUAGAGAUCUGGAGGAAUACCGGUGGCGAAGGCGGCCCCCUGGGCAAAGACUGACGCUCAGGUGCGGAAGCGUGGGGAGCAAACAGGAUUAGAUACCCGUGUAGUC